CCCAGGGGGGCGCGAUUUUGGGAGGGGCGCCGAUUCGGCGAGCGAACGGCGUCGGUCUGGACUCUGGAGCGGGCGGACGGCUGGGGGGUGCUCUGUCUCUCAUUUAUACCGUAAACCUAAUGGGCCACCGAACUAGCCCACAACCGGCCCAGGCCCAUAAAUCAAACAGCCCACAAAAUAACUCCAAGCCUGAUCGUUUUUCAACCUAAUCGGUCCGACUAAUCGCGACUAAUCGACGACUAGUCGGACGACUAGAAAUUAGUCGCCCACACCUACUCGGAGUCCCUUAUCGAGGUCCCCGGACCGAUAAGCCCGACUAAUCGCGACUAAUCGCGAUUAGUCGGACGACUAGAUAACAUGGUCAUCGAUAUGUUGGCGUCAGAUUUAAAUGCUUAUCGGAAACUACUACCUGCGAAUGUUAAAGAUUAUCUUAGCCGCAUCACAGAUAAAAAUAUAAAAUAGAAUGUAGUGUACAAUUGUUUGAAUAUUUAAUUGUCUUUUGGUGACAAUGGUGAUCCAAUUGCUUUGAUUUAUUUCACCAUACCUUUUGGAGUGACAACGUUAUAUACGAUGAAUGUUGUUAUUUGUUGACAGAUUUAUAUCGUCAAGCGCUUGAUUUUUUCGCUCCCGUAGCAACGCACGGGCAUACAACUAUUGUAGUUCGAAGUCUGGUACCUUGCUAUGACUAAAACUUUACAGUUCCUUGAUAAAGUUUUGUUUGAUCUUUAUUAGAAAACAACUGCUGAAGAGCUGCUUGGCAAAGAACUGCCUCUCAAGUUUGCAGAGGUUGAUGAGGAACAGGACAGGCUUGUCCUCAGCAACCGCAAGGCAAUGGUUGACAGUCAAGCUCAGCUUGGUGGUUCAGUUGUCUUGGGAACUGUUGAGAGCCUAAAACCUUAUGGUGCCUUCACAGAGCGGAAUCAGUGGUCUUCUCCAUGUCAGUCAGAUUAGUGAUGACCAUGUUGCAGAUAUCUCAAUAGUUCUGCAACCAGAAGACACCCUCAAGGUGAUGAUAGUGAGCCUUGAUCGUGAAAGAGGCCUCGUCAGCCUUUCUACAAAAAAGCUUGAGCCAACACCUGGCGACAUGAUCCGCAAUCCCUAGCUUGUUUUUGAGAAGGCUGACGAGAUGGAUCAGAUAUUCAGGCAGAGAAUAUCUCAAGCAGAGGCAAUGGCUCGUGCUGACAUGUUGAGAUUCCAGCCAGAGAGCGGAUUGACACUCAGUUUAGAGGGAAUCCUAGGAUCAUUGUCAUCGGAUUCACCUUCAGAGGAUUCAGGAGAAGAACCCAUGGAUGAAUAGUAGCGGUAGACAGAGCGCAUCAGGUUUGGAAGAUGUGAACGCUGUUUAUCACAUUCAUUUUUCUGAUAUAGGUGUAUUUCUGCAUCAGUAUGAUAGGGUGAUAUCUGAUAUAGAGUUCUCAUAUGGCCCUAACAUUGUACAGCUAGAUAUGCUAAUAUUGCCUGUAACCCAGUCAGUUGACUGAUUUGCCGUAUUCAUUUGCUCCAACCUUGAUCUACAUGAAUAUAAAUUCAAGUUCUGGAGUGUUGAGUUUAAUUUGUACGAAAC